AUUGAACGCUGGCGGCAUGCCUUACACAUGCAAGUCGAACGGCAGCGCGGGAGCAAUCCUGGCGGCGAGUGGCGAACGGGUGAGUAACAUAUCGGAACGUGCCCUGGAGUGGGGGAUAACUAGUCGAAAGAUUAGCUAAUACCGCAUACGCUCUGUGGAGGAAAGUGGGGGAUCGCAAGACCUCAUGCUCGUGGAGCGGCCGAUAUCUGAUUAGCUAGUUGGUAGGGUAAAAGCCUACCAAGGCGACGAUCAGUAGCUGGUCUGAGAGGACGACCAGCCACACUGGGACUGAGACACGGCCCAGACUCCUAC
rnacentral:rRNA from 1 species